GAUUUAGUGUUAUUAACAUAGGAUUAUAUCAUAUGAUAAUCGAAUUUUGGCGAUGAUUAUAUAACUUUGUCGAUCUAUGCAGAGUUAUUAGGUAUCUUCUUUAGUAGAAUUUGGUUACUAAUAAUUUAGUAGAUAAGUAUGUGUAUUGGCGGAGGUAUAUAUUCGUAGAUAAAAAAAAAUAAUGGUUUUAAAAUAAAAAGAAACACACAGAGGUUUUGCGUACUAUAAUACAUAUGGAUAGCAGAAAAAAUAUUAUAUGAAGAAAUAAUAAUAAUAAUAAAAGAUAAAAUAAAUGUAGAAAAAAAAGAGAUGCGCAUGUCAUCUCCACCACCUCUUCUUCCGCCUAUCCUCUUAAAAAGUUUCUGUUCCAUUAAAAAUUACACAAAAAUCAUCAUCACACAAAGAUACAGCUUUCAUCAUCUCCGUCUCGCUCCCAUUUUUUUUUUAUCUUUUUUUUUUUUUUUGGUAUCUUUUUUUAUUUACAAAACUGAUAAAUUUUGGAGCGAAACAGAUUUUUAUUUUUCUAAUAGGAAAAGGAAAACAAGAAGAAUUGUUUUUUUUUUUUUUUGUGAUAUAUAUAUAUAUA
rnacentral:lncRNA from 1 species